CCAAUAGCGUAUAUUAAAGUUGUUGCAGUUAAAAAGCUCGUAGUUGGAUUUCUGAAUUGAAUAUCCGGUCCGCUCGUCUCUGAUGAGUGCGUACUUAUGGAUAUUGGAUUCAUUUUUUGUGAGGACAUUUAUCUGUCAUUAAGUUGAUGGAUUUAUAGACUUGCAUCGUUUACUGUGAAAAAAUUAGAGUGUUUAAAGCAGGCGUUCGCCCAUUUGAAUACAUUAGCAUGGAAUAAUAAGAUAUGACUUUGGUGGUCUAUUUUGUUGGUUUGCACACCAGAGUAAUGAUUAAUAGGGACAGUUGGGGGUAUUCAUAUUUCAACGUCAGAGGUGAAAUUCUUAGAUCGUUGAAAGAUGACCUUAGGCGAAAGCAUUUACCAUGGAUGUUUUCAUUAA
rnacentral:rRNA from 1 species